rnacentral:rRNA from 1 species
GAUGAACGCUGGCGGCGUGCCUAAUACAUGCAAGUCGAGCGAACAGACGAGGAGCUUGCUCCUCUGACGUUAGCGGCGGACGGGUGAGUAACACGUGGAUAACCUACCUAUAAGACUGGGAUAACUUCGGGAAACAGGAGCUAAUACCGGAUAAUAUAUUGAACCGCAUGGUUCAAUAGUGAAAGACGGUUUUGCUGUCACUUAUAGAUGGAUCCGCGCCGCAUUAGCUAGUUGGUAAGGUAACGGCUUACCAAGGCAACGAUGCUUAGCCGACCUGAGAGGGUGAUCGGCCACACUGGAACUGAGACACGGUCCAGACUCCUACGGGAGGCAGCAGUAUGGAAUCUUCCGCAAUGGGCGAAAGCCUGACGGAGCAACGCCGCGUGAGUGAUGAAGGUCUUCUGAUCGUAAAACUCUGUUAUUAGUGAAGAACAAAUGUGUAAGUAACUAUGCACUUCUUGACGGUACCUAAUCAGAAAGCCACGGCUAACUACGUG